rnacentral:rRNA from 1 species
UAAUCAUAUGCUUGUCUCAAAGAUUAAGCCAUGCAUGUCUAAGUACAAGCCGCUUUAGCGGCGAGACUGCGGACGGCUCAUUGAAUCGGUUAUGACUCCACUGGGGCCCGACUCUCCACGUGGAUAACGUGCGGUAACUCCGGUGCUAAUACAUGCAACAAGGCUCCGACCGCGGCUUCGGCCGCGGGAAGGGCGCACUUAUUAGGCGAAAACCAAUCGGCUUCGGCCGUUGGUGGACGACACCCGAGUAAUUGCCGCCGAUCGCACGGCCUCGAGCCGGCGACGCCUCCACUGAGUUUCUGAUCUAUCAUGCUGUCGACGGUUGGUGCUAUGCCAACCGUGGCGUUAACGGAUAACAGAGAAUCUGGGUUCGAUUCUGGAGAGGCCGCAUGAGAAACGGCGACCACUUCCAAGGAAGGCAGCAGGCACGCAAAUUACCCACUUCGGACACCGAGAGGUAGUGACGAACAAUACCGAUGCGGUGCACUUACGCGUCGCCGUAAUCGGAAUGAGUACACUUCAAAUCCUUUAACGAGGAUCCACUGGAGGGCAAGCCUGGUGCCAGCAGCCGCGGUAAUUCCAGCUCCAGCAGCGUAUAUUUAUAUUGCUGCGUUUAAAAAGCUCGUAGUUGAAGCGUCAGACGGGGGGAGGACGGACGGCCGCACUGGUCG